rnacentral:rRNA from 1 species
GAUGAACGCUGGCGGCGUGCCUAAUACAUGCAAGUCGAGCGAACAGACGAGGAGCUUGCUUCUCUGACGUUAGCGGCGGACGGGUGAGUAACACGUGGAUAACCUACCUAUAAGACUGGGAUAACUUCGGGAAACCGGAGCUAAUACCGGAUAAUAUAUUGAACCGCAUGGUUCAAUAGUGAAAGACGGUUUUGCUGUCACUUAUAGAUGGAUCCGCGCCGCAUUAGCUAGUUGGUAAGGUAACGGCUUACCAAAGCAACGAUGCGUAGCCGACCUGAGAGGGUGAUCGGCCACACUGGAACUGAGACACGGUCCAGACUCCUACGGGAGGCAGCAGUAGGGAAUCUUCCGCAAUGGGCGAAAGCCUGACGGAGCAACGCCGCGUGAGUGAUGAAGGUCUUCGGAUCGUAAAACUCUGUUAUUAGGGAAGAACAAAUGUGUAAGUAACUAUGCACGUCUUGACGGUACCUAAUCAGAAAGCCACGGCUAACUACGUG